rnacentral:rRNA from 1 species
UGGGGAAUCUUCCGCAAUGGACGAAAGUCUGACGGAGCAACGCCGCGUGAGUGAUGACGGUCUUCGGCUUGUAAAGCUCUGUUAAUCGGGACGAAUGGUUUGUGUGCAAAUAGUGCAUAGACAUGAUGGUACCGGAAUAGAAAGCCACGGCUAACUACGUGCCAGCAGCCGCGGUGAUACGUAGGUGGCAAGCGUUGUCCGGAAUUAUUGGGCGUAAAGCGCGCGCAGGCGGACUAGCCAGUCAGUCUUAAAAGUUCGGGGCUUAACCCCGUGAUGGGAUUGAAACUACUAGGCUAGAGUAUCGGAGAGGAAAGUGGAAUUCCUAGUGUAGCGGUGAAAAGCGUAGAUAUUAGGAAGAACACCAGUGGCGAAGGCGACUUUCUGGACGAACACUGACGCUGAGGCGCGAAAGCCAGGGGAGCGAACGGG